CCUACGGGAGGCAGCAGUGGGGAAUAUUGCACAAUGGGGGAAACGCUGAUGCAGCCACGCCGCGUGAGUGAAGAAGUAAUUCUUUAUGUAAAGCUCUAUCAGCAGGGAAGAAAAUGACGGUACCUGAGUAAGAAGCCCCGGCUAAAUACGUGCCAGCAGCCGCGGUAAUCCGUGGGGGGCAAGCGUUAUCCGGCUGUACUGGGUGUAAUGGGAGCGUAGGCGGCAGUUCAAGGCUGGAGUGAAAGGCGGGGGCUCAACCACCGGACUGCUCUGGAAACUGUACGGCUUGAGUGCACGAGAGGUAAGUGGAAUUCGUAGUGUAGCGGUGAAAUGCGUAGAUAGUAGGAGGAACACCAGUGGCGAAGGCGGCUUACUGGACUGUAACUGACGUUGAGGCUCGAAAGCGUGGGGAGCAAACAGGAUUAGAUACCCUUGUAGUC
rnacentral:rRNA from 1 species